UCUUCAUUUUACGCGCUCUCUCACCGGUCAGAGUUGCGAGAGAGUGUGUGAAAUGAAGAGA
rfam:Pristionchus pacificus strain PS312 contig991, whole genome shotgun sequence.